UACGGGGGGGGCAAGCGUUGUUCGGAAUUACUGGGCGUAAAGGGUUUGUAGGUGGCUUGCUAAGUCAGACGUGAAAUCCCUCAGCUUAACUGGGGAACUGCGUCUGAGACUGGCAAGCUUGAGUGCAGGAGAGGAACGCGGAAUUCCAGGUGUAGCGGUGAAAUGCGUAGAUAUCUGGAGGAACACCGGUGGCGAAGGCGGCGUUCUGGACUGUAACUGACACUGAUGAACGAAAGCGUGGGGAGCAAACAGG
rnacentral:rRNA from 1 species